CGAAACUGUCCAACUGAAGUCUGCAAUAAGGAGAUCGGUGGGACCUAUCAAACUACCUGCUGAAUGUCCCCUAUGGCACCUAUCGAACUAGCUGCUGAAUGUCGCCUCUGGCACCUAACAAACUACCUGCUUAAUAUCCUCUCUGGCACGUAAUGAACUACCUGCUGAAAAUCCCCUCUGGCACCAGGUGUGAUAAAAUCUGAAUGUUCCCUCUGGCACCUAAUGUGAUAAAAUCUGAAUGUUCCCUCUGGCACCUAGUGUGAUAUAUUCUGAAUGUUCCCUCUGACACCUAGUGUGAUAUAUUCUGAAUGUCCCCUCUGGCACCUAAUGUGAUAUAACCUGAAUGUCCCCUCUGGCACCUAGUGUGAUAUAUUCUGAACGUUCCCUCUGGCACCUAGUGUGAUAAAAUCUCUGCCAUUAAAUCUAAUACCUGCCCCUCUGGUGCUGUGCGUUGUGCGCCGAUUGUUUUCUUUGCUUGUCUCUGAAACUCGCCCUUUACAUUAUUAUCUGUUCUAGUAUUGUGUAGAUAUUUAAAGCUUGUCUGAGAUUUGUUUCAGGACAAAAUGCUAAAUGUGAUAUUUUAUUCUGCUCAGGAAUUCCCAUCUAAAGUACGUUUUCCAAAGGACAUAAAAUGAAUAAAACAUCAGUACUCGGCUUCCCAGACAGGCUCUGAAAUAUACCAAAAAGCAGCAUUAUACCCCAAUUUCCUAUCGGUAGCACCGUUUCCACACCUGAAUGAAAUGUUUUAGUGUAUUCACUAAGCAUUAAAUGAAAACCCGCUGCAGGAUGGCGGCCAAACAUCGCUCCCAGCUGACUCCAGUCGCAGUUUGCUUUUUUCAGACUAGUUUCUAAAUCACAGAAAUUCAGUGUUUAGUGAAUAAACUGUAACUGGGUUAUUGUUGUCGGGAAUUGAUGAGGAAAAUGCAAAUAUUAGACCAGAAUAGCUGAACCAGAAAUAUUCUCCUACGUGAUCCAGAUCGACUAGUUUAGCCUAGUAUUUGGUGUUCCCUUGUCAGUUCUCCACAAUUUCUGUUUCAGUAAAUAAUAAUCUCCAGAGUCCUCACAGUGAUCAGUCUGCGCCCAUCGGUAGAACACGGCCAAUUAAAAUAUCUGUUGUCUCUUAGUUUUUUGGUCCGGUGUCGCUGCAGGAUGGCAUUGUGAUGCAAAGUCCGCUCUGCCAAAGACCAUUGUAUUUCUGGAGUGCAGCCUGGAUUCUACCUGAUCCUGCGCAGCCUUUGUAAAACGUCUUGGCUCUUGGUGUGUAGUGGGUUGCAUGGCCAAAACAUUUAUUUUACUGCAGCGAGGCCUGGAUUUAGAGGAGACAUACUGCAGAAUUAUUUGAAUUUAUAUAGGGCCAACUUGUUCCGCAGCGCUUUACAAUUUUACAGAGGGGAUAUAAAAUAAUAUAGUUUGUGCCCGUAACCCAUUAUCCUUCCAGGAUUAGUACGGGACUUCGAACGGCAAUGAACUCUCCGCGCCUGCCGACUGUCAGAGGGGAUGUGUCAGAACGGAAAUAUCUGACCUACAUUUGACCAUAAAUCGUGUCCCAGUAGAGGGCCCGGUAUGGUUGUGACAGAGCGAGAUCCUCCGUAAUGUUAUAUUAUUUUUAUCACUCUAUGCUGUGUAAAAUCACACUGUGCAUCACCGUUUAACUGCACUAUAGCACCCCCUUGAGUACACAAAAUAAAUAUACAGCCUAUUAUACUGUGGAAAAAUAUAUCCACGUGAAUUAAAUAGACUUGUUGAAAAAUUUGUUUGAGAACGGUUAGACAGAAUCAAAAUGUUUUCAAUCCACUCUCGAACAGUCUUAUUCAACGAAUAUGAUUCUACCAGUAAAUUCUGGCCGAAGUGAUUCGUUCGGGUAGGAAAAAAAAAGGGUUUUCAUUUGGACAAACUGGUUCAAGCUCAUUUUUGCACAAGUUUAUUAAGUAAUGCAAAAUAACUGAAGUAUGUAUAUUUGUCUAUAAAUCUAACAAAAUUUGACUAUUUUCACAGUUCAGAGAUUAUUGUUUCAAUGGGAGGACUCCGUCC